UACGGGGGGAGCAAGCGUUGUUCGGAUUUACUGGGCGUAAAGGGCGCGUAGGCGGCCACCGCAACUCGACUGUGAAAUCUCCGGGCUUAACCCGGAAAGGUCAGCCGAUACUGCGGGGCUAGAGUGCAGAAGGGGCAACUGGAAUUCUCGGUGUAGCGGUGAAAUGCGUAGAUAUCGAGAGGAACACCUGCGGCGAAGGCGGGUUGCUGGGCUGACACUGACGCUGAGGCGCGAAAGCUAGGGGAGCGAACGGG
rnacentral:rRNA from 1 species